GUGGAAGUGUUUAAGUGAAAGUGCACUGUGUUUAAUCUUACCAGUUUGGAAUAUAUUCAUUUUGUUCGGAUUCAUAGUGAUAAUUAGUGUGUGAGUUGAGCUGUGUUCAUAUACAUUCCUUGUGCAUUGAAGCAUUGUGCAAGUGUUAUUGUGUCACUGUGUUAUAGUGGUUUAUUGAAUAUUCAAAGGUGAUAUUACAAAUUGGUGAAUAUUGUUAAUAGAUGUUGUAUAUAUGUGAUAAUGUGUUUAUACGUUUUGUGUGAUAUAAAUUGAUGCAUGUUGCAUAGUAAUCCGUUGGUGACAUUGUGUAAUUAAGUGUCUGAUGCAUGUUGCAUAGUGAUAUAUUAGUGACAUUGUGAAUACUCAGGCUUAAUACAUGUUGCAAAGUGAUUGCAUAGUGACAUUGUGUGUAUAUAUUCUAUAAUAAGGCAUUGUGUUUAUACAAAGUGAAUGAGGAACUUCACCUUGUAAUUUAGUUUAUGUGCAUUGUGUAGC
rnacentral:lncRNA from 1 species